UUUCACAGCGGUAUGAGCUGGUACCGGGCCUUGUCCACCGCCCGUGGGUCUGCAUCCGAUACGGGCCCCCUUUAGUGUGGUAUGGGAGAUCGGAAUUCCUGGUGUAGCGGUGAAAUGCGCAGAUAUCCGGAGGAACACCGGUGGCCAACGCGGAUCUCUGGGCCAUUACUGACGCUGAGGAGCGAAAGCGUGGGGAGCGAACAGGAUUAGAUACCCUGGCAGUCCACGCCGUAAACGUUGGGAACUAGGUGUUGGCGACAUUCCACGUCGUCAGUGCCGCAGCUAACGCAUUAAGUUCCCCGCCUGGGGAGUACGGCCGCCAGGCUAAAACUCAAAGGAAUUGACGGGGGCCCGCACAAGCAGCGGAGCAUGUGGCUUAAUUCGACGCAACGCGAAGAACCUUACCAAGGCUUGACAUAUACCGGAAAGCAUUAGAGAUAGUGCCCCCCUUGUGGUCGGUAUACAGGUGGCGCAUGGCUGUCGCCAGCUCGUGUCGUGAGAUGUUGGGUUAAGUCCCGCAACGAGCGCAACCCUUGUCCUGUGUUGCCAGCAUGCCCUUCAGCGUGAUGGGGACUCACAGGAGACCGCCGGGGUCAACUCGGAGGAAGGUGGGGACGACGUCAAGUCAUCAUGCCCCUUAUGUCUUGGGCUGCACACGCUGCUACAAUGGCCGGUACAAAGAGCUGCGAUGCCGCGAGGCGGAGCGAAUCUCAAAAAGCCGGUCUCAGUUCCGAUUGGGGUCUGCAACUCGACCCCCUGAAGUCGGAGUUGCUAGUAAUCGCAGAUCAGCAUUGCUGCGGCGAAUACGUUCCCCUUUGAUCCUGGCUCAACGGCCCGUUC
rnacentral:rRNA from 1 species